rnacentral:rRNA from 1 species
GAGCUGUCCUUAGUACGAGAGGACCGGGAUGGACGCACCGCUGGUGUACCAGUUGUUCUGCCAAGGGCAUCGCUGGGUAGCUAUGUGCGGACGGGAUAAGUGCUGAAAGCAUCUAAGCAUGAAGCCCCCCUCAAGAUGAGAUUUCCCAUUCCGCAAGGAAGUAAGAUCCCUGAAAGAUGAUCAGGUUGAUAGGUCUGAGGUGGAAGUGUGGCGACACAUGGAGCUGACAGAUACUAAUCGAUCGAGGACUUAACCAUAUUU